rnacentral:rRNA from 1 species
CAGUAGCCGCGGGUAAUACGGAGGGUGCAAGCGUUAAUCGGAAUUACUGGGCGUAAAGCGCACGCAGGCGGUCUGACAAGUCAGAUGUGAAAUCCCCGGGCUUAACCUGGGAACUGCAUUUGAAACUGUCAGGCUGGAGUCUUGUAGAGGGGGGUAGAAUUCCAGGUGUAGCGGUGAAAUGCGUAGAGAUCUGGAGGAAUACCGGUGGCGAAGGCGGCCCCCUGGACAAAGACUGACGCUCAGGUGCGAAAGCGUGGGGAGCAAACAGGAUUAGAUACCCCGGUAGUCCCUGUCUCUUAUA